AUAGGAUAUAUGAUAUAUAUGAAACUUAAUGAGGUAUCCACCUGAGAUGCUUUUAAACAGUAUUGAAGGAGUUUCAAUGUAUGCUGAGAUCCUGU